CAACCUUAUUUUUCUNNNNNNNNNNAACUUAAGCAUAUCAAUAAGCGGAGGAAAAGAAACCAACCGGGAUUGCCUCAGUAACGGCGAGUGAAGCGGCAAGAGCUCAAAUUUGAAAGCUGGCCCCUUCGGGGUCCGCGUUGUAAUUUGCAGAGGAUGCUUCGGGUGCGGCCCCUGUCUAAGUGCCCUGGAACGGGCCGUCAGAGAGGGUGAGAAUCCCGUCUUGGGCAGGGUGCCCGUGCCCGUGUGAAGCUCCUUCGACGAGUCGAGUUGUUUGGGAAUGCAGCUCUAAAUGGGUGGUAAAUUUCAUCUAAAGCUAAAUACCGGCCGGAGACCGAUAGCGCACAAGUAGAGUGAUCGAAAGAUGAAAAGCACUUUGAAAAGAGAGUUAAACAGCACGUGAAAUUGUUGAAAGGGAAGCGCUUGCGACCAGACUCGGCCCCGGGGUUCAGCCAGCACUCGUGCUGGUGUACUUCCCCGGGGGCGGGCCAGCGUCGGUUUGGGCGGCCGGUCAAAGGCCCCAGGAAUGUAUCGCCCUCCGGGGUUGUCUUAUAGCCUGGGGUGCAAUGCGGCCAGCCCGGACCGAGGAACGCGCUUCGGCACGGACGCUGGCGUAAUGGUCGCAAACGACCCGUCUUGAAACACGGACCAAGGAGUCUAACAUCUACGCGAGUGUUCGGGUGUCAAACCCGUACGCGCAGUGAAAGCGAACGGAGGUGGGAGCCCCCCCGGGGCGCACCAUCGACCGAUCCUGAUGUCUUCGGAUGGAUUUGAGUAAGAGCGUAGCUGUGGGGACCCGAAAGAUGGUGAACUAUGCCUGAAUAGGGCGAAGCCAGAGGAAACUCUGGUGGAGGCUCGCAGCGGUUCUGACGUGCAAAUCGAUCGUCAAAUUUGGGUAUAGGGGCGAAAGACUAAUCGAACCAUCUGGUAGCUGGUUCCUGCCGAAGUUUCCCUCAGGAUAGCAGUAACGCGGAUCAGUUUUAUGAGGUAAAGCGAAUGAUUAGAGGCAUUGGGGUUGAAACAACCUUAACCUAUUCUCAAACUUUAAAUAUGUAAGAAGCCCUUGUUG
rnacentral:rRNA from 1 species